rnacentral:misc_RNA from 1 species
AUGCCGGUCAGCGCCAGCAACGCGCCCGAUCCGAGGCCCGAGAGCACAAUCUCGGUGAGAAAGAGCCAAUCCAUCACGCUGCCUUCUCGCCUGCAAUGCGCCGCGACAGUUCGCCGACAUCACCCGAUCCCAGAUAGGCCGAGAUGACGUCGGGGUUGUUCUGAAUCUCCGCCGGUUUUCCGGUCGCGAUCACCUGUCCGAAAUUCAGCACGACGACAUGGUCCGAAAUAUCCAUCACCAGGCCCAUGUCGUGCUCGACCAUCAGGAUGG